GUGCCAGCAGCCGCGGUAAUACGGAGGGUGCGAGCGUUGUUCGGAAUUAUUGGGCGUAAAGCGCGUGUAGGCGGUUUGUUUAGUCUGAUGUGAAAGCCCCGGGCUCAACCUGGGAAGUGCAUUGGAUACUGGCAGACUUGAGUACGGGAGAGGGUAGUGGAAUUCCUAGUGUAGGAGUGAAAUCCGUAGAUAUUAGGAGGAACACCGGUGGCGAAGGCGGCUGCCUGGACCGAUACUGACGCUGAGACGCGAAAGCGUGGGGAGCAAACAGGAUUAGAUACCCUUGUAGUCC
rnacentral:rRNA from 1 species